rnacentral:rRNA from 1 species
UCUGUGACUAAGCCUGUAGGAUGGACCGCAGGAAAAUCCACGGUCCUUUAAUCCGAGAGGUGAUGGGUUCGGAACCCUUCGGGGCGAAACAACUGAGUGGAGUCAGCGGCCAAGAAAAACCUCUAAGUUUAGCUUUUUGUGACCGUAUCGCAAUCCGACACAGGUAGGCGAGGCGAGUAGCCUCAGGCGCUCGAGAU